rnacentral:rRNA from 1 species
UACGUAGGUGGCAAGCGUUGUCCGGAUUUAUUGGGUUUAAAGGGUGCGUAGGCGGUUCUAUAAGUCAGGGGUGAAAGACGGUAGCUUAACUAUCGCAGUGCCCUUGAUACUGAUGGGCUUGAAUGUACUUGAGGUAGGCGGAAUGUGACAAGUAGCGGUGAAAUGCAUAGAUAUGUCACAGAACACCAAUUGCGAAGGCAGCUUACUAAAGUAUGAUUGACGCUGAGGCACGAAAGCGUGGGGAUCAAACAGG